CAAAUGCUGAGAUUAAAAUUCGCCACUGUGCCUGAGCCUUUGUGCAAAUCAAAUGUCCAUGCCUUAGAGAACCUGAAAGACCCGCAGAGCAGGGAGACCCUCACUCACGUCUCAGGAUAACAUGACCCCGGAAGAACUCACAGAACGGAUAGGCUCUCACCGAGAACUGCCCCCGGGCUGCAGUCCUGCCAGCGAAGGUUGGUUGGUUAAGGGUGAGAAAUCAAAGUGAAGUCCAGCUCAAAAGGAUACAGACUCCCCGAUCUGGGUGCCCGACAGACUCAUCAGACCGGCCCCGAGUUCAGCUGUCGAGAAGAGGAAGGCACAGGCAAAAGCAGACUCUGUGAAAAACCCAAGCAGCCUCACAGGGACUUUCCCUAGAGGAGAUGGCAGAGAAGAGGAAGUUCCCAACUCUGAUGCAGCUGAAGAAUUUAACUAAAGAAGCAAAGGAUAUCGUAAUAUCUGCUCAUUCUGAAAUGACUGCUAUUAAUAUUUUUCUUGUCUUAUCGUGUAACUUGUGAAGCCUGUAUUUUGUCUGUGUUUCCUCUGGAUUGGAUAAAGAAUUUGCUGUUAUGUUGCUUGUAAAACGACCUGCUUAUGUUAUGCUGACAGUAGACUUGGACUCUGAUCCUUGGUUUGAUAAUUCUGGAUUACAAGCUUUAGAAACUAUUAGUGACUUAAUUAGACCUAAGAGAUUUGUGGCCGCCUUAAUUUUAGGAAUUUCGGCAUUGAUUGCUAUCCUAACAUCCUUUGCCGUAUCCACUACGGCUUUAGUUAAAGAGAUGCAGACAGCUACUUUUGUUAAUGAAAUGCAUAGAAAUAUUUCUGUGGCAAGAAUUAAUGCCUUAGAAGAGGUGAUUUUAGAAUUAGGACAAGAUGUUGAUUCUAUUAAGACCAGGCUUGCCUCCAGAUGUCACUCUAGUUUUCAUUAUAUCUGUGUGACUCCUUUACCUUAUAAUGAAUCAGAGAAUUGGAGUAAAACUAAAGCUCAUUUCCUAGGAGUUUGGAAGGAUACAAAUAUUUCUUAUGACUUGCAACAAUUACAGGAACAGAUUACAGCCACGAGUCAGAGACAUUUAGAUGCCUGGAACGUGGAUAAACUUGCAACAUCAUUUACUAAAACAUAGAUAUCUUCCAUUUAUGUGUGGUUUACUCAUUUCUCAGUAGUGAUGUUUGAAAGAUUUAGUCUCAAGGUUCAAUGGAACUGGAUUUGGAAUGCAUUGGGGUGCUUUAAAUAGGGUUUAAUGGGCUAUCCUAGCAGAAAUAUGGAAGGCUUUGUUACUGCAAGUGAUUUGAAUUGUGCAGACCUGACCCUAGAGAUUUCGGUGGAGAAUUUCAAUAUGUGGCCAAGAAACGGUUUUUGUGGCAUUUUGGUGAAGAAUAUGGCUACUUUUUGCCCUUAUGUGGAGAGUUUGCUUAAGGCUAAGGUAAAGAGAUUCAGAUUAAUUUCAUUGACAAGAAGUCUCAAACAGAGCCAGCAGAGACUCUGUUCCCUGGUCAAGUCUCAUGAAGAGCAUUCUGAACAAGUGUAGCAAGGUUAGAAAGGGAAAAUAUAAAAUACAUGGUAUUAAAGGGGCACCAGGAAGUGAAAUGGAGCUGAAUCCUGUGCUCAAGGAUACUAAAUUAAGGGAGUGGUGUCCUUGGGGCAAGAUCCCACCCAGCCAAAUUUAGGUCCAGGUAGAGUAGCACACAGCUUUAACCCAGGAGUCCAGACCUCUGAGUUCAGGGCCAGCAUGGGACAGCAAAUUCUAGGUGAAGAAAAACUUAAAUCCAGGCUUGGUGGCCCACACUUUAAUCCCAGUGUUUAGGAGACAGGCAUGCAGCUCUGGGAGUUCAAAGUCAGUCUACAGAGCAAGUUCCAGGACAGCCACGCUUAGGCAGUGAAGGAGCUGGAAAACAAAGCUGGUAAUAAUGUAACAGAACAAGGUGGCCAUGUUCCAGCCCCAGCAAGCAGCAGAACUCAGCAGCUUUGGCCACGUGGCUCUGGCUUUAGAGUCCAGAAUACCAGAGUAGAAGGCGUUCCUGAGGGCAAUUGAUGCUGGUUAGCUGGAACUAAGGAAUUAGUGAUUGAGAAGAGACCAGCAUCACUGAGAUGAAAUCUGGAAAGUGUUUUCUGAGAGCACAAAGAAGCUGUGUUCGAGAGGAAGCCACGGUUGUACCUUGUGCUGCAGCUGUACUUGGUAAUGUGUGAGAGUCACUCAGGUGGUACUGGUUUGGAAAUUAUAAAGGAGUCACAAAGAAUAGCUGAGGCUUGGCACAGUGAAAAGCUAGGGAAGGCCACUGAUGAAGGUGCUGCCUCAGGACUGAAGGGGUCAUGCAAAGGAGUUGAGGCUUGGCAUCUAUGAGAGGCUUAUUGGUGAAGCCUAGUAAUGUUGUGCCGGGGAAAUGUUAGUGAUCUCCCAAAACCAGAUCGGAAUCAAUCUGAUGCCACUCAUAGCAGGGUCUUUAUUCUAUUCCAUGUAGCUUAGCACCGCCACCGCCACCCCCCAUGUAUCACCAUCAUGGAGCACAGUUUUGGUGGUUAUGAAAGGAAAAAAUUUAAAAUUGCCCCCCUAGACAAAAGUUGAAACCAAAAGAAAGAAAAGUAGUUGGGCCCUGGAACUGCCUGUUCUAGGAACUAGCUGACCACAGAAAGAGUAAUUACACCAGCUGAUUUCAGCCACUUUGUUCUAGGAACUAGCUAAAUUGCACCAGCUGGUUCAGAUAAUAGCAGGAUUAAAGAAUCAUGAGAAACAGGAGGUUCUUCCUUGUGAUUUGGUAUGUUUUUCCUUUAAAUGCCCCUUCUCCCAGCCAUUCGAGGUCAAACUCCUCUACCCUUGCGUGGGUAGGAGUCUCAACCCCAGCAUGCUGGUUUCUGUGGUCCCUAUCCAUAAACCUCUUGUUGAUUGCA